rnacentral:rRNA from 1 species
GACAGAGGGGGCAAGCGUUGCUCGGAAUCACUGGGCAUAAAGCGCGCGUAGGCGGGCUUUCAAGUCGGUUGUGAAAUCCCUCAGCUCAACUGAGGAACUGCAUCCGAUACUGUUUGUCUUGAGGACGAGAGGGGAGAGUGGAACUUCUGGUGGAGCGGUGAAAUGCGUAGAUAUCAGAAGGAACGCCGGUGGCGAAAGCGACUCUCUGGCUCGUAUCUGACGCUGAUGCGCGAAAGCUUGGGUAGCAAACGGG